GACGAACGCUGGCGGCGUGCUUAACACAUGCAAGUCGAACGGAAAGGCCCUGCUUUUGUGGGGUGCUCGAGUGGCGAACGGGUGAGUAACACGUGAGUAACCUGCCCUUGACUUUGGGAUAACUUCAGGAAACUGGGGCUAAUACCGGAUAGGAGCUCCUGCUGCAUGGUGGGGGUUGGAAAGUUUCGGCGGUUGGGGAUGGACUCGCGGCUUAUCAGCUUGUUGGUGGGGUAGUGGCUUACCAAGGCUUUGACGGGUAGCCGGCCUGAGAGGGUGACCGGCCACAUUGGGACUGAGAAACGGCCCAGACUCCUACGGGGGGCAACAGUGGGGAAUAUUGCAAAAUGGGCGGAAGCCUGAUGCAGCAACGCCGGGGGGGGGAUGACGGCCUUCGGGUUGUAAACCGCUUUCGCCUGUGACGAAGCGUGGGUGACGGUAAUGGGUAAAGAAGCACCGGCUAACUACGU
rnacentral:rRNA from 1 species